GAUGAACGCUAGCGGCAGGCCUAACACAUGCAAGUCGAACGGUAACAGGUGUAGCAAUACAUGCUGACGAGUGGCGCACGGGUGCGUAACACGUAUGCAACUUACCUCUAACUGGGGAAUAGCUUCGAGAAAUCGAAAUUAAUGUCCCAUAAUAAUUUGAUCAGGCAUCUGGUUAAAUUUAAAACUCCGGUGGUUAGAGAUAGGCAUGCGUCCUAUUAGUUUGUUGGUGAGGUAACGGCUCACCAAGGCUACGAUAGGUAGGGGGCCUGAGAGGGUUAUCCCCCACACUGGUACUGAGACACGGACCAGACUCCUACGGGAGGCAGCAGUGAGGAAUAUUGGUCAAUGGUCGCAAGACUGAACCAGCCAUGCCGCGUGCAGGAUGAAGGCCCUAUGGGUUGUAAACUGCUUUUAUCUGGGAAUAAACCCCUCUACGUGUAGAGGGCUGAAGGUACCAGAUGAAUAAGGACCGGCUAACUUCGUGCCAGCCGCCGCCGUAAGAC
rnacentral:rRNA from 1 species